rnacentral:lncRNA from 1 species
CCCAACCCCCACCGCACCCCGGCCUUCGUCGCCGUCAGGGCGGGUGGACCGUGGCGGGACGAGGGAGAAGGAGCAGGUCCUUGGUUUAACUGUUGCAGUCUGUCGGGAAGGCAUCUUCUUCCCGCGGAAAUUUGCCGUAGGCGGGACCGCGCCUGCUUUGCUCACCACCAUUUCUAAAAGGGUUUGUUGAAGGACAGGAAGAAGGCGCUGGAGAGAGAGCAACGGGAAAAGAGUGAAAAGGGAGGGAAAGGGAUAGACUGAUUUCUGACGGGCCUUUUAGCAUGGAAUAUUUUUUGGAGGUCUUGGAAAUCCCUGGGCCUCACCGCCUUUGUAAACUGAGCGCUGAUUUCCAGAGUCCCUUCCCGCUCUGGUGUUCCUCGAUUCUUUUGCCUGGACCCACUUGCGGCGGCGAAGUUAGCAUCCAGUUGGAACCGAUUCAAGCUUCUGUGACUUUGAGGAAGUAG